GACGAACGCUGGCGGCGUGCUUAACACAUGCAAGUCGAACGGAAAGGCCCUGCUUUUGUGGGGUGCUCGAGUGGCGAACGGGUGAGUAACACGUGAGUAACCUGCCCUUGACUUUGGGAUAACUUCAGGAAACUGGGGCUAAUACCGGAUAGGAGCUCCUGCUGCAUGGUGGGGGUUGGAAAGUUUCGGCGGUUGGGGAUGGACUCGCGGCUUAUCAGCUUGUUGGUGGGGUAGUGGCUUACCAAGGCUUUGACGGGUAGCCGGCCUGAGAGGGUGACCGGCCACAUUGGGACUGGGAUACGGCCCAGGCUCCUACGGGGAGCAGCAGUGGGGAAUAUUGCACAAUGGGCGGAAGCCUUAUGCAGCAACGCCGCGUGCGGGAUGACGGCCUUCGGGUUGUAAACCGCUUUCGCCUGUGACGAAGCGUGAGUGACGGUAAUGGGUAAAGAAGCACCGGGUUACUACGUG
rnacentral:rRNA from 1 species